UUUUCUUAUUCUAUUUUGUUCAUUUUCUUUACUUAUUCUAUUUUCAAUCCUAAUUCUAAUUCUUCCCUAACUAUUUCCCUGUUUCAGGAAUUGACCAAUCGUCGAUUCGAGGGUGAGAAGACAUAUCAGGUAUGUCAAAUUUGAAAUUUGUUGAAUGUGCGAGUGCUAGAGUUGUAUCUCUUAUCUUCAAUGAACAUUGGGAGGUUCUUUGUGGAGUAAGCACCUCUCUUUUGAGUUUUCUACUUGAUAAUUUUGGUGUUAUUAUGGAUAUGAUUUGAUUAGUUCGUAUUUUAUUUCAAUCUGAAAAGUUACAAGAUUAUAUGGGUGUUAUGUUUAUGGAGAUCAGUUACAUUGUCUUAGCUCGUAAGAACAAGUUGAGCUGCAAAAUUCUUGAUCUAUAAGAGCAUUUACUUUAGGUGAUUUAUGUAAUCGACCCUGGUCAGAAGCAUUACGUGUGCGUGGUUGAUCUUCUUGGUCAUACUCUUUCAAUAGGUGAAGCUAAAUCCUUCACUUGCAGUUGCUUGGUUAAGCUUAGGUAACUGCAUAUGGAUGAAAGGUGAUCUAGUUUCAGCAAAGAAUCGUUUUAACUAUGCCAUUAUAAGGAUCUUUCUUCUGCUUCAUUCCCUUUCAAGUGUUUGAUGAGUAGAUAUCAGUAGCAUAAUUAUCGGUUUUUGUCAAUCUUUAUAGCUGCUGGUGUCUCGGUUUUCCCCCCCGAGACAGCCUCUGCUAAUAGAGAACAUCGUUGCUUCUUCUGGUCAUGCUAAUCCAAAUUUUUUGCGAGGUUAGGAUAUAAGUCAGACACAUCAUGGAUUUACUCUUCUUUUCAAAAUUUGAUAUUCGUUGCUGCAGAACUCGAUGGCUGGCAACAAUCAUCGGAAGCUGUUGAAGUUGAUGGUGAGAAUUCAGUGCUGGAAGAAAUUGAAUCUUCCUCUUACAACGUCUCUAAUGGUAAUAGAAGCCAACAUGUAAAUGAUGAUGACUCUUAUAUCCCUACGAAAGUUUGGAGCAUUUGCUACCUGGCACUCUUAUUGCUUCGCCUACAAAACCAGCUAUGGAGCAUCAAUUUGCAUUCUCGUGGCUUCAUCAGAAUACGACAGUCCUCUAUUUCGUACAUCCUCUAUCUAUGCACUCAAAUGAUAAGGAUGGAAGUUUGGAUGGAUGGAUGGAUUACUUUUGACUAAAAGCUGCUUCAGAGUACCAUUUUUGGUUGAAGAUUGUAAAUGACGGUUAAAUAUUUAUAUAAAAUAUAUUUUGGAUUGUACUA